rnacentral:rRNA from 1 species
GUCGAACGAGAAAGUGGGGCAACCCAUGAGUACAGUGGCGUACGGGUGAGUAACACGUGGAUGAUCUGCCUUCUGGUGAGGAAUAACCCUGGGAAACCGGGGCUAAUACCGCAUAAGCCCGAGAGGGGAAAGUCGCAAGACGCCGGAAGAGGAGUCCGCGGCCGAUUAGCUAGUUGGCAGGGUAAAAGCCUACCAAGGCGAAGAUCGGUAGCCGGCCUGAGAGGGCACACGGCCACACUGGCACUGAAACACGGGCCAGACUCCUACGGGAGGCAGCAGUGGGGAAUCUUGCACAAUGGGGGAAACCCUGAUGCAGCGACGCCGCGUGAGCGAUGAAGCCCUUCGGGGUGUAAAGCUCUUUCGGCAGGGAAGAUGAUGACGGUACCUGCAGAAGCAGCUGCGGCUAACUACGUGCCAGCAGCCGCGGUAAUACGUAGGCAGCAAGCGUUGUUCGGAGUUACUGGGCGUAAAGGGUGUGUAGGCGGUUGCUUAAGUUUGGUGUGAAAUCUCCCGGCUCAACUGGGAGGGUGCGCCGAAUACUGAGUGACUCGAGUGCGGGAGAGGAGAGUGGAAUUCCUGGUGUAGCGGUGAAAUGCGUAGAUAUCAGGAGGAACACCGGUGGUGUAGACGGCUCUCUGGACCGUAACUGACGCUGAGACACGAAAGCGUGGGUAGCAAACAGGAUUAGAUACCCUGGUAGUCCACGCCCUAAACGAUGCAUAUUUGGUGUG